rnacentral:misc_RNA from 1 species
GAUGAAGAACGUAGUGAAAUGCGAUAAGUAAUGUGAAUUGCAGAAUUCAGUGAAUCAUCGAAUCUUUGAACGCACAUUGCGCCCCCUGGUAUUCCUUAGGGCAUGCCUGUUCGAGCGUCAUUUGAAACCUCAAGCUCAGCUUGGUGUUGGGUGUCUGUCCCCGCCUCCGCGGGGACUCGCCUCAAAAUCAUUGGCGGCCGGUACGUUGGCUUCGAGCGCAGCAGAAACGCGAACUCGAGGCCCGGCGGAUCGGCGACCAGAAGUCUCUUCUUCACAGUUUGACCUCGGAUCAGGUAGGGAUACCCGCUGAACUUAAGCAUAUCAAUAAGCGGAGGA